AUAUCUUUGAAAGGAGCGCAGCCACAGUUCCUCCCGUGAUGUAUACAUACAAAUAAAUAUUUACAAACAAAAGAAAGUGUUUGUGCAAAUGUGAGGUGCUGAGACAUUCGUAUAGAUAGAUGGUUUCAACACUACAGCUUCUCCUGCCAUCAGUUGACAAGCUAGCAGUUUGCAGCUCUGAAACCUGACCUGCGCUUGCUUAAGAUCCCCCUCAUAUGAGAGACAGGCAUCAGCAGGACAGAAGAGUGUUACUCUUCUGUUCAGCAAGCAGCUAGAGAGUACCUCGGAUCCCUCUGGUCAAAAGAAACCAGGUCUACAUGUUUUAAGUGCAGCAGACUCAGGGACUUCAUAUCCACUGACAACCACACCUGUUGUAAAAUUUUCCUCUGGUGAGACAAUUUGACAAUGUGGGCAGACUCAGGGACCUCGUGUCCACUGACAACCACAUGUCACUGCGUUAUUGCAUAAGUACCUCCUCAAACUUAUGUAGUACAAGUCUCAGUCGAGUAUUUCUGUAUACUGGAAAUGUCAUAUUUUAUAGAAAAUAGAUUCUCCCUUUAAAAUACGAUAUCUCCUAACCUGAUUACAGAAAUUAAGCAAGGAAUAAUAUUAUAUCGUAUGAACAGGCAUGUGAGCUCUGAGCUCAUUUAAAUGUUUUCUUUAACUCUAUUGACACAGCAAUUAUAGAUUUGUGGCAUAUAUCUCAAGUCAUGAAUAAUGUGAGGCUCACCACACAGUGGCAUAGUCAGUUUUCUUUAAAUUUCUUGCCACAGCAAUCACAGAUUUGUGGAGUGUAUUUUUCAAUUCAGUCAUAAUAUGAGGCUCACCACAUGCUGGCAAGUUAAUUUCCUUACGAUUAGUUUGGCCAAUAACAGUGGCAAAGUUUUGAUUGUGACCAUGAAUCAUUACAAAUGUGGCACCACACAAAAAAUAUUAUUUUAAUUUCAAGGCAUAAAUCCUAUGCCGUCGAACUCUAAUUACCUACUAUUUUUACAUUA